AAAAAUCAACUUGCGCUCACUAAACAACUGGUGCAAAAGUGCAAAUUUCAAGGUUGUUUCAACAACCUUCAAUAACAGUACAAAACACUCUUAUUUGAGUUCAAAAUUCUUCAAACAAGUUCUAAUGUCCAUACCCAGUUUCAAGUUUACAAAAUGUCGUAGAAAAAUACAAAUAAUGCAUAGGAAACUUGUAUUAUAUCAACAAAAUGCAAGAUUAUAAGAUUCAAACAAGCUGGCAGUUCGCUAUUCAAUUGCUUCUCAAAACUCAAAACUUCAGCAACAUCUUGAGCACUAAAUUCAGCAGCAGUAGGCAUAAAUAUUUUCAUCCCAGACUGACGACCUCAACUGUAGAAACAAAGCAUUAGAAUCACAGCAAUAUUGAGUCAGAAUAACCACAAAGUACAACUAAAAUAGUACAGGAUCUGCUUUUAAAAAAACAGCUCAAAACUUGAAUUUUGACUAGUGUAUUGUUGGCAUAUAAACUGAAGCAACGCAGUUGAGUUAACUGAAGCUAAAACCUUUGCAAAAUUCUCUCAACUGUUAAGAAAAACUAUACAAACAACAAUCAAUUAAAUAAAUGUGGAAAUCUCCAUUGUUAAGUGAAAAAUUAACAAUGCAGGGCUGUGGAUAGCAAGUAUGAAAUCCUUUUCACCAACAGAAAACAAGCAGAAAAUUAUUUUCCAGCAAACAUGUAACUUCUGUCAGCAGAUUCUAACCAACUGGAAAAUAGUUUAUGUAACAAGAGCACUCAAUUCAACAAGGAGAACAUUUUAGGAGUAAAAACCAGAUUUCAAGCUAUCACUGCUAAACUCAAGCACAAUCUCAACAGACACCAAUUUUCGGCAAAUUAAGCUUACUGUAUGCUUAACUAAAUCACAAUUCAAGCUGCUCAAUCUUUAGUCCAAUUGAAUCCCCUCUAUUAAACUCAAUGACAACAACAACUAUUAGAAACCAAUGGUAACGAGGUUUAAGCUAGGAGAUAUUCAGCUAUCAAUUUAUUCGAGAAACGUUUCCAUGAAUAGUGGCAAAAUUUCAACAAACAAGCUUCAAAACUUCGCAGUCAUAGCACAGAGGUAACUGGUGUACAAUGCACGAUUUACUUUCAAACAUUGGCCCACGACAACCCAUAGAUUGAAUUAAAAUGACAAAACAAUGCUCCAACAAAUAAAGAGUGAUCUCAAUAGAACUUUCACCAGUAUAAAAGAUGUUUGACAAGAGAAUUCCAAUUUGAACUCUAAGAAUUUCAAUAGUAGAGUCCAUUGACACAACUCAAUUCACACAAUUACCAGCAUGCAACUUAUGAAUCAUAAAACUAACCUAUGUGGCUAAAAGUAGCUAGAAGUGCAAAAUCUGGCUAUGACCCCGCAAAGCCAAGAUCUAAAAUAUACAAGGAAAAAUCGGACCCUAUGUGGGUUGCCAACGUAUCACGCCUCGAAAGGCGAGAAUCAUGUUCGUGUAGUUCGGGCAAAUUAGAUACGGGCAAGAAAUUAAAAAAACAGCUAUUUUUUAAAGAACCCAUUUUCUUUUCUCUUUUUGAAAAAAAAAAGAUGAAACAUGUAAACUCUUUUUGGAUUUUUUUUCCUUUUUCCUUUUUUUGAUUUUUAGGAAAUAAUAAUAAAAGGUACGAAAUAUUUUUUUUAUUGAAUUUUUCACAUAUCCUUCGUCUCUUUUUUAAUAAAAAUAUAACAAAAACAACUAAAUCCUACUUGAUUUAUUUUCACACAUCACCCUCUUUUCUUUUCAUUGUUUUUCUCUCUCUUUUUUCUCAUUUUUUCAUGUACUCUCAGUUAUCAUUGGUCCUCCAAAUGACCCUUUCACCUUUGAAAAAAAUGCAACAUGUGGCAUAUAAAAUGCAUCAGGAUGGUCUUUAAAUUAGGUAAACUGUCCAAGAUGGACUCAACCCCUGUGUUGAGUCCUCUAAGUCAAAUGCAUGAUGAAAAUAAGUGUUCCUAUUUGGGAUGUGGUAUGAGGUCAAGUUAUCCUAAGUUAUAAAAAUUGGUAUAGGGUCUAGACUUUGCACCCGAGCGGAUAACUCGAGUCGAGGAGGGGGCUACGUACCGGGAACCAAAAGGCCAUCCGGCUUUGUAACUUGUCCAGCCUCUUUCUUAUUUCAGGGUAUGACACUAACAUAAUAGGAAGUCUCAACCGGUAAGCACAUCCUCCGAUGUGAGAAGAGAAGAGUUUCGUAGCAGUUUAUAUGUAAAAUUCAGAUAAUAUCAAAGCGGUAAAAGCAUCAUUUUGCACAUUAAGCCAACAUGUAAUAAAGUAAGGUAAUAAACAAAGCCAAAUACCACAAUUAUUAUAAGCUCGAAUUCUUGAACCCUGAACCAGAAAUUCUGGGAUGUAGAGCAAAUAUUUCCCCAGCAGAGUCGCCAGAACUAUCACACCUUCUUUUCGCUAUUACAACCCGGCGAAGAGCGUAGAUAAGGGUGUUUCUCAAAUUAAAGGACAAUCGAAACUGGAUUCAAUUUUUUAAGAGAGUUUCAGAGCCGCCACUUAGGAGAUUUAUGGUGUACAUAGUCACCGGUUAGAAUCCCGAAUCGAGGAAAAAAUGACUCUAUUUAACAGUCCGCAAACCACAAAUUCGAGUAAGGAAUUCUGUAAACCCGGGAGAAGGUGUUAGUCAUUCCCGAGUUCCGUCGUUCUAGCACGGUCGCUCAACUAUUAUAUUUGGAUUAAAUUAUCUGAUUUUAGAACAUGUUUUAACUUUUAUGCUUUUUAACCUUAAACCGCGUUUAUUAUUAUUUUUGAAGAAAAUUGCAACGUCAUUAAAAUACGUCUCGAACCACGUCACAUAAAGGCAUCCAUGGUUUUUGACACAUUCCAAUUUCGUUGAGAUUUAGAUUUAGGUCGCAUAAAUGCGCACCCGAAUUUAGGAAAGUAAUAUUAUUAAACACGCGCCUAAAGCAAUUAUGCAUUUGCAGCGUUGCGAGAGCCAUAGAAAUAUCACUAAAUGGCCCCUCGGAUUCUGAGAAAGCUAAUUUAAAAUUAUGCACCUAAAGCAAACUACGGGGAUCAUUUCAAGUGAUUCCCCUAAACACCGUUAAAAUAAUGCCUAUAGCAAACAGUUUUUUUUUAGUUAGAUUUGAACAACAAAACAACAAUUAUUGGUCGAAAGAAUUUCCUCAUAUUAUUCAGCAAACUAAAUUUCAUGCAUAUACUACAAAUAUGCAACCAUGUUAAUACCAUGUACGUUAAAGUAAACUGACUUUCAGUUCAAUUAGCUCCUAUAUAAUUAAAAUUCAUUCAAACAUAGCCUUACUAAGAAACAAGCUCAACUGGAACGUAACAUAAUGCAAAUGACACAAAAUUGGGCAGAAUUUCAUAAACCCAUAACGAAGCACUUCGAACAAUAGUAUUAGCCAAACGAUUCAUCAAACAUGAAGGAUAAUACUUCUGAACAUGACAAAAAGGCAAAGAACUUACCGAAGGCGCAUACCCUCCCGGCGACAGAACCAGCACCGGAGACUUCGACGGGACAACCUCGAAUGGGAACCUCUGGUCGAAGCUUCAAGAAACAAGCUUUAAAUUGACAGAUCUCGACAUGGUCUCAAGCACAGAUAAUUUCCCAUUACGAUAGGUCGUUGGACUGGUUUUGAGUCAAGAAAAGUCCUAAGGUUUAAAGGAUGCACGAAAGAUGAAGCAGUAGUGUCCAGGCGAGGCUUUGGUGGUGGUGUCAAAGCGUUUUCCGGCGAGCUCGUCACUGUUUCUAGUGGGUUUCCGACGAGCUCUGGUGGUCUCGAUGGCUUUAGCUGAUUGAGUUCUGGGUGGAGAUGAACCAAUGGAGAGGGUCGUUUGGUCGGAGAAGAAGAGAGAUCGUCGGGGGUCUGUGUCGAAGAGUUGCGCAGCUGCGUUCAAAUUUUUUCCAGGCGUCUCUCUAUCUUCUCUGUGUAUAUGUGUCUAUACUUGUAUUUUGUAGCGUGUGUAUUGUAUUGUAUAGGCGUGUAUCUUCAAAAGAAGCCCCAGCCGCCAG
rnacentral:lncRNA from 1 species